UACGUAGGGGGGCAAGCGUUGUCCGGAUUUAUUGGGCGUAAAGAGCGUGUAGGCGGCUUGGUAGGUCCGCUGUGAAAACUCGAGGCUCAACCUCGAGAUGUCGGCGGAAACCACUUGGCUAGAGUCCGGAAGAGGAGAGUGGAAUUCCUGGUGUAGCGGUGAAAUGCGCAGAUAUCAGGAAGAACACCUAUGGCGAAGGCAGCUCUCUGGGACGGUACUGACGCUGAGACGCGAAAGCGUGGGGAGCGAACAGG
rnacentral:rRNA from 1 species